UUGGACGCUGGCGGCAGGCCUAACCCAUGCAAGUCGAGCGGAUGAAGGGAGCUUGCUCCUGGAUUCAGCGGCGGACGGGUGAGUAAUGCCUAGGAAUCUGCCUGGUAGUGGGGGAUAACGUCCGGAAACGGGCGCUAAUACCGCAUACGUCCUGAGGGAGAAAGUGGGGGAUCUUCGGACCUCACGCUAUCAGAUGAGCCUAGGUCGGAUUAGCUAGUUGGUGGGGUAAAGGCCUACCAAGGCGACGAUCCGUAACUGGUCUGAGAGGAUGAUCAGUCACACUGGAACUGAGACACGGUCCAGACUCCUACGGGAGGCAGCAGUGGGGAAUAUUGGACAAUGGGCGAAAGCCUGAUCCAGCCAUGCCGCGUGUGUGAAGAAGGUCUUCGGAUUGUAAAGCACUUUAAGUUGGGAGGAAGGGCAGUAAGUUAAUACCUUGCUGUUUUGACGUUACCAACAGAAUAAGCACCGGCUAACUUCGUG
rnacentral:rRNA from 1 species